rfam:Felis catus isolate Cinnamon breed Abyssinian chromosome B3, whole genome shotgun sequence.
ACCUGGGUGGCUCAGUUGGUUAAGCAUCUGACUUCAGCUCAGGUCAUGAUCUCAUGGUUUGUGGGUUCAAGCCCCAUGUCGGGCU